rnacentral:rRNA from 1 species
UACGUAGGGUGCAAGCGUUGUCCGGAAUUAUUGGGCGUAAAGAGCUUGUAGGCGGUCUGUCGCGUCUGCUGUGAAAAUCCGGGGCUCAACCCCGGACUUGCAGUGGGUACGGGCAGACUAGAGUGUGGUAGGGGAGACUGGAAUUCCAGGUGUAGCGGUGAAAUGCGUAGAUAUCUGGAGGAAUACCGGUGGCGAAGGCGGCAUCCUGGACCGAGAUUGACACUGAUGAGCGGAAAGCCAGGGAGCAAACGGG